UUGUUGGUAAGGUAAAAGCUUACCAAGGCUUCGAUCAGUAGCUGGUCUGAGAGGACGACCAGCCACACUGGGACUGAGACACGGCCCAGACUCCUACGGGAGGCAGCAGUGGGGAAUUUUGGACAAUGGGGGCAACCCUGAUCCAGCCAUGCCGCGUGAGUGAAGAAGGCCUUCGGGUUGUAAAGCUCUUUCAGCCGGAACGAAACGGUUACGGAUAACACCCGUGACUACUGACGGUACCGGAAGAAGAAGCACCGGCUAACUACGUGCCAGCAGCCGCGGUAAUACGUAGGGUGCGAGCGUUAAUCGGAAUUACUGGGCGUAAAGCGUGCGCAGGUGGUUUUGUAAGUCAGAUGUGAAAGCCCCGGGCUCAACCUGGGAACUGCGUUUGAAACUACAAGACUAGAGUGUGGCAGAGGGGGGUGGAAUUCCGCGUGUAGCAGUGAAAUGCGUAGAGAUGUGGAGGAACACCGAUGGCGAAGGCAGCCCCCUGGGUCAACACUGACGCUCAGGCACGAAAGCAUGGGGAGCAAACAGGAUUAGAUACCCUGGUAGUCCAUGCCCUAAACGAUGUCAACUAGUUGUCGGGCCUUUACGGGCUUGGUAACGUAGCUAACGCGUGAAGUUGACCGCCUGGGGAGUACGAUCGCAAGAUUAAAACUCAAAUGAAUUGACGGGGACCCGCACAAGCGGUGGAUUAUGUGGAUUAAUUCGAUGCAACGCGAAAAACCUUACCUACCCUUGACAUGUAUCGAAGCCCGCAGAAAAGCGGGGGUGCCCGAAAGGGAACGAUAACACAGGUGCUGCAUGGCUGUCGUCAGCUCGUGUCGUGAGAUGUUGGGCUAAGUCCCGCAACGAGCGCAACCCUUGUCAUUAAUUGCCAUCAUUUAGUUGGGCACUUUAAUGAGACUGCCGG
rnacentral:rRNA from 1 species